UAGGGAAUCUUCCACAAUGGACGAAAGUCUGAUGGAGCAACGCCGCGUGAGUGAAGAAGGGUUUCGGCUCGUAAAACUCUGUUGUUAAAGAAGAACAUAUCUGAGAGUAACUGUUCAGGUAUUGACGGUAUUUAACCAGAAAGUCACGGCUAACUACGUUCCAG
rnacentral:rRNA from 1 species